CCUACGGGGGGCAGCAGUGAGGAAUAUUGGUCAAUGGACGAGAGUCUGAACCAGCCAAGUAGCGUGAAGGAUGACUGCCCUCUGGGUUGUAAACUUCUUUUAUAUGGGAAUAAAAUGUUCCACGUGUGGGAUUUUGUCUGUACCAUAUGAAUAAGGAUCGGCGAACUCCGUGCCAGCAGCCGCGGUAAUACGGAGGAUCCGAGCGUUAUACGGAUUUAUUGGGUUUAAAGGGAGCGUAGGUGGAUUGUUAAGUCAGAUGUGAAAGUUUGAGGCUCAACCGUAAAAUUGCAGUUGAAACUGGCAGUCUUGAGUACAGGAGAGGUGGGCGGAAGUCGUGGUGUAGCGGUGAAAUGCUUAGAUAUCACGAAGAACUCCGAUUGCGAAGGCAGCUCACUGGACUGCAACUGACACUGAGGCUCGAAAGUGUGGGUAGCAAACAGGAUUAGAUACCCUGGUAGUC
rnacentral:rRNA from 1 species